ACCCUGCAGAAGCCAGAGCCAAGUACGAAAAGAGUAUUACAACUGAUUAAUGACUUUGGUCGGGUGGCUGGAUUUAAAUUAAAUAAACAGAAAACCAAGGUUUUGGGGAAAAAUUUGACAGAUACAGAGUCAGAACGGUUUCAGAAUGAGACGGAACUUAAUGUGGUUAAAAAAGUAAAAUACCUAGGGGUAAAUAUAACAGCAAAAAAUCUAAGUCUAUUUAAGGACAACUAUGAAAAAUGUUGGACAGAAAUUAAGAGAGACUUAGAUAGUUGGUCAAAAUUGAAACUUUCUUUGUUAGGCCGGAUUGCUGCUAUUAAGAUGAAUGUAUUGCCAAGGAUGUUGUUUUUAUUUCAAACACUUCAGGUUCUGGACAAAACGGAGUGCUUUCAGAAGUGGCAGAGAGACAUUUCUAAGUUUGUCUGGCAGGGCAAAAGCCCAGAAUUAAGUUUAAGAUAUUAACUGAUGCAAAACAAAGAGGGGCUUUGCCCUGCCAGACUUAAAGUUGUAUUAUGAAGCCGCAGCGUUCUGCUGGCUAAAAGAUUGGCUACUCCUUGAAGACACUGAUGUGUUAGAUCUGGAAGGGUUUAAUAAUGCUUUUGGAUGGCAUGCAUAUUUAUGGUAUGACAAGGUUAAAGCAAAUAAGGCCUUUAAGAACCAUAUUGUCAGAAAAUCACUGUUUAAUGUCUGGACAAAAUAUAAAGACUUGCUGGAAAAUAAAACACCCAGGUGGCUCUCACCACUAGAAGCUAAGGCCCGAAAAAGACCCAAUAUGGAGGCUAAAUGGCCAAAAUACUGGGAAAUACUAGAAAAGGAUGGAGACAAUUGGAAAUUGCAGAGUUUGGAGAAAAUGAAAGACAAAGUGCGAGAUUGGUUACAUUACGCUCAGAUUAAAGAAGUUUUUAAAAAUGAUAAGAAAUUAGGGUUCCAGGUGGAGAAAUCGAAACUAGAAACAGAAUUGUUAGAACCAAAGAUUAAGGUACUAUCAAGGAUGUAUAACUUGCUGUUAAAAUGGAAUACACAAGAUGAAACGGUUAAAUCGGCUAUGAUAAGGUGGGCACAGGACAUUGGGUAUAAUAUUAUGUUUGAGGACUGGGAAAGGUUGUGGAGUAAUGGAUUGAAAUUUACUGCAUGUAACGCUCUGAAAGAGAAUGUAAUGAAAAUGAUUUAUAGAUGGUAUAUGACCCCAGUCAAACUUGCAAAAAUUUACCACCUGUCUGACAAUAAGUGUUGGAAAUGUAAAGAGUGUGAGGGAACGUUUUUCCACCUCUGGUGGACUUGCCCUAAAGUGAAAGCGUUCUGGGAAAUGAUCUAUAAUGAAUUGAAAAAGGUAUUUAAAUAUACCUUCACUAAGAAACCAGAGGCCUUCCUUUUGGGUAUUGUCGGCCAAGGGGUGGCAAAGAGGGACCAGACAUUUUUUAUGUAUGCAACAACAGCAGCAAGGAUACUUCUCGCAAAAUACUGGAAAACUCAAGAUCUACCCACACUGGAAGAAUGGCAGAUGCAACUGAUAGACUACAUGGAACUGGCUGAAAUGACCGGCAGAAUUCGUGACCUGGGAGAAGAGAGGAUAGAGGAGGAUUGGAAGAAAUUUAAGAAUUAUCUACAAAAAUAUUGUAAUUUGAGUGAAUGUUAAAUAAGAUGCUAGACUAAAACAACUGAGCACCACUAAAUCUAGAAUUUUUUUUAAGAAAACAAAUAAGAUUGUGAAAAUUUAACUCCUUUCGAGAAUUACAAGAUUAUGAAAUAUAGAAGGGAUAUAAGAAUCUAAACAAGAUGAUAAAUUGCUGAUAAAAUGUUAUAACGAUGAAAGUGGGAGCGGGAGAUGUGAGGAAGUCCAAAGAAAAUGUGAAACUAUGUUAAGACAAAUGUUAUAUUGUUCAUGAUGUCUAUUUUUAUUGUAAAACCCAAUAAAUUGCUUU
rnacentral:lncRNA from 1 species